AGUGAACGCUGGCGGUAGGCCUAACACAUGCAAGUCGAACGGCAGCACAGUAAGAGCUUGCUCUUACGGGUGGCGAGUGGCGGACGGGUGAGGAAUACAUCGGAAUCUACUUUUUCGUGGGGGAUAACGUAGGGAAACUUACGCUAAUACCGCAUACGACCUACGGGUGAAAGCAGGGAUCUUCGGACCUUGCGCGAUUGAAUGAGCCGAUGUCGGAUUAGCUAGUUGGCGGGGUAAAGGCCCACCAAGGCGACGAUCCGUAGCUGGUCUGAGAGGAUGAUCAGCCACACUGGAACUGAGACACGGUCCAGACUCCUACGGGAGGCAGCAGUGGGGAAUAUUGGACAAUGGGCGCAAGCCUGAUCCAGCCAUACCGCGUGGGUGAAGAAGGCCUUCGGGUUGUAAAGCCCUUUUGUUGGGAAAGAGAAGCAGCAGGUUAAGACCCCGCUGUUCUGACGGUACCCAAAGAAUAAGCACCGGCUAACUUCGU
rnacentral:rRNA from 1 species